CUCUUUCGUGCAACCCAUCGAUCUAAGUCCACAGUUCGGGACCCCCUACCCGAGAUCUGCCGGUUUUGACUCUGACACAUGACAUUAAAAAUCUUUUGAGAACUAUCAAAUUCUUUAAUAUUGUUGUCAACUUCAAAAGGUAUCCUUUUAUUAUAUUUUUAUAUGAAUUUCCAUAGGAAUUACCAUAAUUAUUAGAGGGAUUACGGGGGCACAGUCUAGGAU
rnacentral:lncRNA from 1 species